rnacentral:rRNA from 1 species
CAGGCCGUUYUGGGUGUMUAAAACCAACCCAAARAAAGGSCCGGCAAARCCCGGKCCCRCCCCCCGCGUUAUUCCGGSCGGCUCGAGUGGUGCCCACUUUUAUUGGCUCAAAAGCKUUGGUASUGGGGUGKUUAAGUUUYUKGGAAAUUYGGCAAGUUUAMCGUCCGGGGUUUUAAGAGAUACUGGCCAUUUAGGAACCCGGGAGAGGUGAGGGGUACUUCGGGGGUAGGAGUGAAAUCCUGUAAUCCUCGAGGGACCACCUGUGGCGAAGGCGCCUCACCAGAACGGCUUCGACAGUGAGGGACGAAAGCUGGGGGAGCAAACCGKAUUAGAUACCCGGGUAGUCCCAGCCGUAAACGAUGCGCGUUA